GUCCCCGUCGUCCAGUGGUCUAGGAUACCGGGCUUUCAAUCCGGAAACGGGGGUUCGAAUCCCCCCGGGGACACCA
rnacentral:tRNA from 2 species